ensembl:lncRNA
CUCUUGACUGCUCUUUGCUCAGUGGAGAAGAAAGCAGAGGGACAACUUCCUACCCACCUGCUCAGAGCUGCAAAACACAACCCUGCCUGUGGGAUCCAGGCAAUGUGGCCAGGUCUAACACACAGUACUGGGGCUGCUUGGUUUUUUUUUUGGCUUAGCUAUGAGGCAUCUUGGUAACCUGCAGCCAUCCUUGCCCAGUAUGACUCAAUCCCUUGGUGUGAACAGGCUCUGAUGUAGAGAGCCAUUUCAGACUCCAGAAAGGAGAAUUUAAAGCAGUCUCCCACCUCAGCUCUUUCCAGUGUCACUUCACUGCUGCCAUCCUGACAGCAGCUAAGCAAGUCAAAGCACCUGAGCACCCAGAAGAGGCUGAAAGGAGGAGAAAAUUUCAGGCUGUAAUUUCCCAAGCCUUCUUAUUCCUCUGCCGCUACUGAACCUCUGCUAACCUCUGCAAUCUUCUGCCAUCAAUGUGCUCCAUGAGGACACAGACUUGUUAGCCAGUGAACUGGUGCGGUUGUGAAAAGCCAGGACUGCCAUGAACAUGAAAAAAAGUCAGCUCAGACAGACUUUGUGAAAGUUCCACUUCAGAUUGGUCUGCAUCAUCCUUCACAUUAGUACAUGGAACCUUACCAUCAGAUCUGAACUUGCUCCACAAGCAUUUGAAGAAGAAUACCAUGCUCCAAGCACCUAAGGAUGCCAGCCCCCUGUACUGGACAGCUCUCAAGGGAGUCCAUAUAUACACACACCCACAGGAUCUUCAUAUUUGGAAUGCAUUCAAUAUUUUGGAAAAAAGCAAAAAAAAUACAUACAAAUAUAUAUUGAGAUUUUGUAACAAACAUAUAGAGUAUAUUUGAAAUUUAUGUACUGAAAUACAGACACA